AUCAGCUGAAGUGAUCUUCCCCCCAUGCCGCAGAGGCCUUCAGCCGAAACGGCCCCUCCCUCUCUGGGUUCAAACCCCAGAGAUCCAACCAACCAACCAAAUUCUUUUGGAUAACUUGCCUGAUGGGAUAACCUCCCGUCAGCAGCAACAGAUCCCAGUGUGAAUGAUCGAGGCUCCCGCCAUGACGAAACCCCGUUAGCUUUAGCAAAAUUUCCGUUUUUUAUAUUAAGACCGUUUACCAUUUCCAGCAAUGCGCCUUGUGCACAGGAAUGGUUUCACCUAGGUAGGGACGAUGCUUGCGCUUGCGCAGGACUCCGCCCUCAGUUAGCUUUUUUUUGGUUUGGCUUUUUUGACGAGAGUGUGAAGAGAGAGUGUGGAAAGAGAUGAAGCGUGAGUCGGAUGUAGAAAUGAGUUGCAAGCGAUAAGCUGUUGCGGACAGCGGUGGCAAGCGAUAAGCGAUGAGUGUGGAAAGAACAGAGCUGUGAAUCGGGCGUAAGAGAAGUGUGUGGUUGAGUCGAGUGAGCCCAGUCGUUAUAGAUUUUUGUCGAGAGGCAGUGCAGUCUCCGUCAUUUAAUGUUAGCCUUGGAAUUUAGCUAAGAGGUAUUCAACUUCUUAAUUCCAAACUUUCGAACGUCGGUACUCAAACAAAUGCGUUCAUCGGGAUAAUUAGCAACAUUUAUUUCCUGCGAUACAUGUUAAAAUACUGUGUGCUUUGUAGAGUGAAGACGAGAGGACGUUCUCCUUUCAGUGACGAAUGCAAGAUGGAGACAAGUAGAACAUUACACUUACGGUCUGAUGUACGUGUGCGUGUGAAUUGCAUAAAUGUGUCAUUAAACUCCUUGAAUUAACUUUCGACAUUACACGCGUGCACAAAAGAGGCGAGAGUUUCUUAUGGUGACAGCCAAUAAAUUCCGCAUGUACCUGAUUCACGAAUUUUCGAAAAAAAACCAUCGAUGGUCGGAAAUUGCUGAAAAUUUACAUAGACGUCGUGCCACAGAGUGAAGACGAGAGGACGUUCUCCUUCCAGAUUCGUAUGCAAGAUGGUGUCAAGUAGAAAAUUACACUUACGGUCUGAUGUACGUGAAUGAGUGAAUUGCCGAGAUGUGUCAUUAAACUCCGUGAAUUAACUUUAGACAUUACACGCGUGCACAAAAGAGGCGAGAGUUCCUUAUGGUGACAGUCAAUAAAUUCCACAUGUACCUGAUUCACUGAAGUUGGACGGGCAUAAAUGUGACGUGUGUGUGCAUAUGUAUACAUAUAUAUUUCUGACAAGCCGGAUCUUUGUAAUAUCUCGAUACACAUUAAAAUAAAAUUUUGACA